rnacentral:rRNA from 1 species
UACCAGCACCCCGAGUGGUCGGGACGAUUAUUGGGCCUAAAGCAUCCGUAGCUUGUUCUGCAAGUCCUCCGUUAAAUCCACCUGCUCAACAGAUGGGCUGCGGGGGAUACUACAGGGCUAGGAGGCGGGAGAGGCAAACGGUACUCAGUGGGUAGGGGUAAAAUCCUUUGAUCCAUUGAAGACCACCAGUGGCGAAGGCGGCUUGCCAGAACGCGCUCGACGGUGAGGGAUGAAAGCUGGGGGAGCAAACCGG